rnacentral:piRNA from 1 species
UUGGAGGUGCAAUCCCUGUGAC